rnacentral:rRNA from 1 species
UGGGGAAUAUUGGACAAUGGGGGCAACCCUGAUCCAGCAAUGCCGCGUGUGUGAAGAAGGCCUGCGGGUUGUAAAGCACUUUCAGUAGAGACGAAAAGCGCAGGAUUAAUACCUCUGUGUCUUGACUUAACCUACAGAAGAAGCACCGGCUAACUCCGUGCCAGCAGCCGCGGUAAUACGGAGGGUGCGAGCGUUAAUCGGAAUUACUGGGCGUAAAGCGCGCGUAGGCGGUUGGAUUAGUCGGAUGUGAAAGCCCAGGGCUUAACCUUGGAAUUGCAUUCGAAACUGUCCAGCUAGAGUCUGGGAGAGGGAAGCGGAAUUUCCGGUGUAGCGGUGAAAUGCGUAGAUAUCGGAAGGAACACCAGUGGCGAAGGCGGCUUCCUGGACCAAUACUGACGCUGAGGUGCGAAAGCGUGGGGAGCGAACAGGAUUAGAUACCCCCGUAGUCC